rnacentral:lncRNA from 1 species
GUGAGUGAAAGCUUCUUGAGGACAACGUAUCCAAUUCUAUGUCUCUUUCGCAUGACCCUCAGAACAAACUAUGAAGAGCUCUGAUUUAAAUACGAAGACAUUGGGUUACCAGCUUCUCCAUCUAUACAAUGGACCAUUAGAUCAGGCGUGCUUCUGGAAAACCCUAGAGGGCGCUGUUUUCUUGCUUGUUACCACUUUUGCCUUGGCCUCUCAAUGGGAAAAUGGAAAGGAAAAAAAGAGGAGUGAAGUAAAUAGAUCUUAAAUGAAACACAAACUGUCCAAGCCUGAGGGGAAUGAACGUAUCAAGUCUAAGUUCCUCUUUGCCAGAUGUGGGAAGCAUGACUCACCCUGGACUGACUCACAGCAAGUAUGACUCCAUGAAACACUCGCAGAGUUGGGGACUCGAGGGGCUCAGCCUCCACGAUACUGGCCAUCAAGAAAACACUGGCCUUCUGGGCAGCAAGAUGGUUCACUUCUAUAUUUGGGGAUCUCUUAUGGAAAUUUACUGACUGCCCUUGGGUCUAUGAUCCCUGUUUCUAAAACCAGACACCUGAAUCAAAGCACUAAACCAG